rnacentral:tRNA from 1 species
GGAGAGGUGGCAGAGCGGUUGAAUGCGGCACACUCGAAAUGUGUUUUAGGGAAACCUAACGGAGGUUCAAAUCCUCUCCUCUCCG